UAGGUGAGAAAGUGUGGGGAGAAAACAGGAUUAUAUACCCUGGUAAUCCACGCAGUGAGGGAUGUCGAGUGGGAGGUUGUGCCCUAGAGGCGUGGCUUCGGGAGAUAACGCGUUAAGUCGACCCCCCUGGGAGUUCGCCCGCAAGGUUAAAACUCAAAUGAAAUGUCGGGGGCCCGCACAAGCGGUGGAGCAUGUGGUUUAAUUCGAGAAAACAAGAAGAACCUUACCUGGUCUUGACAUCCACCGAACUUUUCAGAGAUGAGUAUGUGCCUUCGGGAACCGUGAGACAGGUGCUGCAUGGCUGUCGUCAGCUCGUGUUGUGAAAUGUUGGGUUAAGUCCCGCAACGAGCGCAACCCUUAUCCUUUGUUGCCAGCGGUCCGGCCGGGAACUCAAAGGAGACUUCCAGUGAUAAACUGGAGGAAGGUGGGGAUGACGUCAAGUCAUCAUGGCCCUUACGACCAGGGCUACACACGUGCUACAAUGGCGCAUACAAAGAGAAGCGACCUCGCGAGAGCAAGCGGACCUCAUAAAGUGCGUCGUAGUCCGGAUUGGAGUCUGCAACUCGACUCCAUGAAGUCGGAAUCGCUAGUAAUCGU
rnacentral:rRNA from 1 species